GAAAUAGUAGUUUAACUUAAAAUAUUAAAUUGCAAAUUUAAAGAUGACUUAGUCUUAUUUUU
rnacentral:tRNA from 1 species